CAGCAAAAUGUUUACUGAAUUCAUCCUCAAUGUUCCCAUGGGCUUGCUGACCAUCCAGAAACUCUACUGCUUGAUCGAAAUCGUCCACAGUGACCUCUUCACACAGCAUGACUGCAGAGAGAUCCUGCUUCCCAUGAUGACCGAUCAGCUCAAGUACCAUCUGGAGAGACAGGAGGACCUGGAGGCCUGCUGUCAGCUGCUCAGCCACAUCCUGGAGGUGCUGUACAGGAAGGACGUGGGGCCAACCCAGAGGCAUGUCCAGAUUAUCAUGGAGAAACUUCUCCGGACCGUGAACCGAACCGUCAUUUCCAUGGGACGAGAUUCCGAACUCAUCGUAAGUGCUUGGUGACAUAUGUUUGGAUAUUUAACUGGGGCUGACAGCAUCCUUCUCCAACUGCUGUUUGAACAUAGCUUAUUAUACUGCAAUGUAGUGAGCAGUUGAGAUACAGCUUGGUAUAUAAAAUGUCCUCAUUUUCCAAAUGAAUGUCAAAGUUGAAGGGUAAGCAAACCAACUUUAAAGAUGGAAACAUUUGGCUCUUGUUUUCUCAUUACUUACUUAUAGCAAAAGACAUGUAUUUUCUGCUGAGUUGUCAUUCUUCUGGCAGUUUCUCCUUAGUGUUUACACUUAAGGUGCCAUUAAUAAAAUUUUAUGAAGGACCCUAAAAA
rnacentral:sRNA from 1 species